rnacentral:snoRNA from 1 species
UUUAGUGAUGACAAUACUGUGUCUUUAUGGUAUGGGAUAUUCUUAUUUCUGCCUCAUGUUAGCACAACGAUUUCUCAAUAGACUACAACGGUAUCUGAUU